rnacentral:rRNA from 1 species
AUUGAACGCUGGCGGCAGGCCUAACACAUGCAAGUCGAGCGGAUGAAGAGAGCUUGCUCUCUGAUUCAGCGGCGGACGGGUGAGUAAUGCCUAGGAAUCUGCCUGGUAGUGGGGGACAACGUUUCGAAAGGAACGCUAAUACCGCAUACGUCCUACGGGAGAAAGUGGGGGAUCUUCAGACCUCACGCUAUCAGAUGAGCCUAGGUACGAUUAGCUAGUUGGCGAGGUAAAGGCUCACCAAGGCGACGAUCGUUAACUGGUCUGAGAGGAUGUUCACUCACACUGGAACUGAGACACGGUGCAGCCGCCUACGGGAGGCAGAAGUGGGGAAUAUUGGACAAUGGGCGAAAGCCUGACUCAGCCAUGCCGCGUGUGUGAAGAAGGUCUUCGGGUUGUAAAGCACUUUAAGUUGGGAGGAAGGGCAGUAAGUUAAUACCUUGCUGUUUUGACGUUGCCGACAGAAUAAGCACCGGCUAACUUCGUGCCAGCAGCCGCCGUAAAAC